UCUUCGUGUCGUCAACGGACAACGGAACACCGGAGGAAAACGAUGAGUAAAUAAUGUACAGACACGCGUCGCCACAUCCAGCUGCUGACCACACUAGGUUUCGAGCCACGGGGGCAUCUAGGGGGCGCUGCAGACCGGUAAUAUUUGAUGCAACCCAUCUCAUCACUAAUGUUGAAGCCAAAUGAUCAGGGUCAGUGCAUGAUUCCAGAAUCUUCAGGGAAUCAUCACUGUGUCACAUGUUUCAACAGGGACACUACAAUAGCUACUUGCUGGGGGACAGAGGCUCCCUGUUCUGCAUUAUUUAAUGACACCCUAUCCUGAACCUGAGCCUGGACCACAGACACAGUUCAACCGGGCCCACAGCAGAAUACGGCCAAGGUGGAGAUGACCACAGGCAUCCUGAAGGCGAGGUUCCAGUGUCUACGUGGCCUCCGCGUCAGUCCAAAGAGGGCAUGUGACAAUAGUGGAUUGUGUUGUCCUUCACAACAUUGCCACAAUACGAGAGCCACCCUUCUUGUCCUGCUGAAGAUGACCAAGAGGAUCCAGUAGUGAACCAAGUAGACCACAGAGAUGGUAGACUCUUGAGACACAUGACUUAUCAGAAUCACUUUUAUUAAGGUUUCUGCACCAAAGCAUUCAUCAUUUCUUCAUGUCCUGAAAAAUAAAAUGGAAUAUUAUUUACAUUGCUUCACACAA